CAUGCUAACUUUCUGCAUCCCUUGUACAGACUGGGACGAUGCAGAUAAGAUUAGCAUGGCCCUUCUGCAAGGAUAACAUGCAAAUUCGUGAAGCGUUCCUUACUUUC